rnacentral:rRNA from 1 species
GUGUCAGCCGCCGCGGUAAGACAGAGGGUGCAAACGUUGUUCGGAAUCACUGGGCGUAAAGCGCGUGUAGGCUGUUUGGCAAGUCGGAUGUGAAAUCCCACGGCUCAACCAUGGAAGUGCAUUCGAAACUGCCAAACUAGAGUUCUGGAGAGGAAGGCGGAAUACUCGGUGUAGAGGUGAAAUUCGUAGAUAUCGAGUGGAACACCGGUGGCGAAGGCGGCCUUCUGGACAGUGACUGACGCUGAAACGCGAAAGCGUGGGGAGCAAACAGGAUUAGAAACCCCGGUAGUCC